rnacentral:sRNA from 1 species
GUUAACAAGUCUUUCGCCAGGAUGAGAACCUGGGGAAAGGUUCGACGACCGAGGCGUUAGCCGAGGGAGAACAGCGGAGCAUAGCGACGCUGGCCCGGAAGGGUGAGGGGCGUAAGCCCCGAAUAAUCCUGGCGCCCCAGCCA